CCUUCCCUCCUUCCUUCCUUCCCUCCUUCCCUCCUUCCCUCCUUCUCUCCUUCCCUCCUUCCUUUUUCAAUGAAGCUACUCACAAUUCUCCACCCUACAUGAAAAUUAACUCCCAUUCAGAUUGGAUCAAGAGGAUCACUGCCCUCUCCCUCCCAUCCUCACACAGCCUGCCUUCCCUCAUUCUGUGCCUUUUUCCAACAAACUGCCAUAAAUGGAAACUUUUGCCUCCUUCCAAACCCCUCCUCACUCACUUUUUAAACAAGUUAGGGUGCUUCAGAGGCUUUGAGGAUAGAGAUCCACAAAAAGUUGUAGCUAUUUCAGGGGCAGACUCACUAGCACUUUCCUUUGAAAUGAUCUUCUGCUGGGGAUUACUAUCUAAUGCACCUGGAACUACAUUAGUUUGUUCAGGCUCUUGGUUUAUCUGAAAAUCAUUUUCCAGUAAUCUUAUGUACACCAUCUGGCUAAACAUCCUGUGAGGAGCAGCCGCUGUGCAGAGAAGGAAGCUCUCUCUGCCCCAGGCCGUUGCUAAGCAGCUCAAGUAGUAACAACAAACUCAUUGAUGCCUUCUUCUGUGCCAGCCUGGGGCUGGGCAUGGCCACGCAGCCACCAGUCUCCAGGAUUUUGGCACCAUUGUAAGUACUGGAAGUCAUGGACUACAAAGAGAAAAGGUUGAGGAGGGCCAGCUCUGGUCGCUUCUCAAAUGGCAGAUUUUCAGGAGAAACCCAGCACCUGCUGAUGACUAGGAGCCAACACUGUUCUCAUUCAUCCUGGAAUCAAUUUUCUGCAGUGCAAGUUCUUGGAUAAAACCGAAAAUAACAGUACUUCUGACUGUUCAGGGAAAAUAAAGGCUUCUUGUCAUUUCUUUUCAGUGCA